GCGAGUGAAGCGGNAACAGCUCAAAUUUGAAAUCUGGCCUCACGGUCCGAGUUGUAAUUUGUAGAGGAUGCUUCGAGCGUGGUCNGGCCUAAGUUCCUUGGAACAGGACGUCAUAGAGGGUGAGAAUCCCGUAUGCGGCCGGGUGCCUACGCUCAUGUGAANCUCCUUCGACGAGUCGAGUUGNUNGNNAAUA
rnacentral:rRNA from 1 species